ACUGCUCAGUAACACGUAGUCAACAUGCCCAAAGGACGUGGAUAACCUCGGGAAACUGAGGAUAAACCGCGAUAGGUCGUAAGUACUGGAAUGUUUUAUGGCUCAAAUCUACAUGGCCUCUGGAUUGGACUGCGGCCGAUCAGGCUGUUGGUGAGGUAAUGGCCCACCAAACCUGUUACCGGUACGGGCUCUGAGAGGAGGAGCCCGGAGAUGGGCACUGAGACAAGGGCCCAGGCCCUAUGGGGCGCAGCAGGCGCGAAACCUCUGCAAUAGGCGAAAGCUUGACAGGGUUACUCUGAGUGAUUCCCGCUAAGGGAAUCUUUUGGCAUCUCUAAAAACGAUGCAGAAUAAGGGGUGGGCAAGUCUGGUGUCAGCCGCCGCGGUAAUACCAGCACCCCGAGUGGUCGGGACGAUUAUUGGGCCUAAAGCAUCCGUAGCCGGUCCUGCAAGUCCUCCGUUAAAUCCACCCGCUCAACGGUUGGGCCGCGGGGGAUACUACAGGGCUAGGAGGCGGGAGAGGCAAGCGGUACUCGAUGGGUAGGGGUAAAAUCCACUGAUCCAUUGAAGACCACCAGUGGCGAAGGCGGCUUGCCAGAACGCACUCGACGGUGAGGGAUGAAAGCUGGGGGAGCAAACCGGAUUAGAUACCCGGGUAGUCCCAGCUGUAAACGAUGCAGACUCGGUGAUGGGCCGGCUUUAUGCCGGCUCAGUGCCGCAGGGAAGCCGUUAAGUCUGCCGCCUGGGGAGUACGGUCGCAAGACUGAAACUUAAAGGAAUUGGCGGGGGAGCAC
rnacentral:rRNA from 1 species